UUCACCAAAGAUCGCGCCGGUGCCCCAUAAAGGGGCUUAAUCGGGAAUGCGGUGCGGGGAGCUUUCCCCAAAUCCGCGGCUGUCCCUGCAACUGUGAGCGGAUAGCGCGAUGCACUGGCCUCCUUGUGAGAGGCAGCCACUGGGCCACGACGGCCUGGGAAGGCGUGCAGCGUGCCGUGACCCGCGAGCCAGGAGACCUGCCGGCGCAACGGUCGCUCU
rnacentral:ncRNA from 2 species